AUCCGGCUGACGAGUCUCAAAUAAAACAAAACGUACUUUCUGGAU
rnacentral:hammerhead_ribozyme from 1 species